ACGGAGGGUGAAAGCGUUGUUCGGAAUUACUGGGCGUAAAGCGAGGGUAGGCGGAUUAAAAAGUGGGGUGGGAAAGCCCCGGGCUAAACUCGGGAAGGGGGCUCGAAACCAUGGGUCUUGAGAACCGGAGGGGAUCGGGGAAUUCCCAGUGUAGAGGUGAAAUUCGUAGAUAUUGGGAGGAACACCGGUGGCGAAGGCGCCGAUCUGGACGGUUUCUGACGCUGAGACGCGAAAGCGUGGGUAGCAAACAG
rnacentral:rRNA from 1 species